UAACCUCAUAACUGGUAAUAAAAGGAGUCAUUGAUCUUCAGCACAUGUGGGACUUAAUUUAGGUUUAGAGGGUUUACCAGGAGUGGCUUGGUAAUCACAACAUUAUAUUGUCCAGUAGAGUUCUCUGAGAUCUUUCUUGUUAAUUCCUGUUUGGACCAAGAGGACUCUGAGUUAGGAAAUUGGAGUUACAUUCUGCAGCUCUUGACCAAAUUCCCAUCAUGGCUCAGUGGUAAUGAACCCAACUAUUAUCCAGGAUGAUGUGUGUUCCACUCCUGACCUUGCUCUGUGUGUUAAGGAUCCGGCGUUGCCAUGAGUUGCAGUGCAGGUUGCAGAAGCCAGUUUGGAUCAGGUGUUGCUGUGGCUGUGGCAUAGGCUGGCAGCUACAGCUCUGAUUCAACCCCUAGUCUGGGAACUUCCAUAUACUGUGGGUGCAGCCCUAAAAAGACAAAAAAUAAAAAUAAUUAAAUAAAUAAAAAAAUAGAAACUUCUUGGCGAAAGCUCCAAAUAAUGGAAAGGUGUAUAAUUUGAGCUCCUGGUUUUGAAUAUGCCUGCCUUCCCAUUGCUUGCAUUUCCCUUUACGGGGAGCAGGCAAUCUGAUAAAUUCAUUUACCUUGAAGAACCUGCAAGUGAAUGUGAAUGUGUGGAGCUGGAGUAAGGGGGAACCCACACAAACUGCAUGAGUGAGGAUGGAAAACCAGGUGAUGUCUCUAAAGGAAAUGGGGAGCUACCAGGGAAGGGGAUGGCUGCUGGGCAGCCUCAUGUAAACAAAUACUCUCUCUGAUUUGUGUGAUUACAGGAACUCCCACUUUUUUUCCUUCCUUCCUUUCUUUCUUCCUUCCUUCUUUUCCUCCUUCCUUCCUUUCUUUCCUUCUUCCUUCUUUUUUUUUUUUUUUUUUUUUUUUUGCCUCACCCAUGGCAUAUGGAAGUUCCCAUCGAAUGUGAGCCAUGGCUGCAACCUGUGUGGGGCCUGGAUCAAACCAACAUCUCAGCAGUGACCCUAGCUGCUACAGACAUAGCACUGGAUCUUUAACCUGCUGUGCCACAGCAGGAACUCCUUUUUUUUCUUCCUUUCUUGUUUCUGUUGCCAGUUUGAGCUAGUUUUUCUGUCACUUCUCCUGAGAAGCAGUAUUACUGUCAUGGAAGGAGCAUUUGAUAGAGCAGGGGGCUCUGGUUCUCACAGAUCACUGAUGAGCCGAAUGACCUUGGCAAUGUCAUUUUACCUCUCUGAUUCUGGCUUUUCUUUCUUUCUUCCUUCCCUACUAUUUUUUUUUUUUUGUAAAAUGAAUUUAGAUAUAGAGGUUUUUCAAAGUGCCUUCAAGCUCUAAAUACUGUAAUUACAUUAUUUUCUAUCUCUUGAGUUCUGUAGAUGGCGUACAGCUUCACUGUUAUAUGUACGUUACUACUCCAAACAACCAGGAGGCGAAAAGCACCACAAUGAGAGUUGACCGCUGUGUGUGUCCUUCAUCUGUUUUUUUUUUUUCACCCCCAACACAGGAGGGCAGAUGUGAUGUAUUCUCUGAGUGCUGUGCAGAUGAAUAUCUGGCAUCUGAUUCUUGAUCAUUACAAGUGAUGUUCAGAUCAGGAUAGCUAAGGUGAGUACAGGCUAUAACUGAAAGAGGAGUAUUACUGGUCUGGCAGCAAUCUUCACUCUUUUAAUUGCUGUGAAAUGAAAAAAAAAAAAAAACCAAAAAAAAAAAAAACCCCAAAAAACCUCUGUUCUUGAAAUGUAAAUAGAGGGAGUUGACUACUUUCCCUCUUGAAUGGCUUAGAUUGUACCUUUGACCAGAGGCAAGAGGAUGGAAGCUUUGACCUCUGGGAGUCCUGUCUUAGCCCCUCCAUUCUCCAAAAUGCUGGCCCUGAAGGAAAAGUGUCACCCGUCUUCUCACAUAUCCUGUCUCACACUGAGUAAUGUUUCCCUUCUGCCCCCAGUGGAGAAUUUUAAUGAUAACGGCUGUCUUCAGGGACAGAUUGUGACUUGUCUUUUAAAGGAAGAUGAAAUCUAUUAAGACAGUGAGGACCGAGAAGAAAAGCUAUGUUUCUGAGAGGAGAGCUCUCUUAGUUCCUCUCUUACCCCUCCUCUCCAUCUCUUUCUUUGUUAGAAGACGAUACCCUUCAACUGCUCUGUUUUGUGUCUGGAUUAUUGUGGUUGUUGGUGUAUAAAAUUGCUGCUGGUGUGUAUAAUUUAUAAGCUCUAAAAAAUGAUAAAUAGUCUCAAGUAAGAAGAGUGAUUUGUGUUAAAGUCCUCAGGGUACUUUUGUAAAGGAAUUUAAUUUCUUAGGGGAAAUUGUCUAUAACUUCCUAUGGAAUGUUAGUUAACUGGUUCAUAGCUGGGGUUUAUUUUCUGUGGUCUUUUUUUUUCCUUCCAUUACUGGUUUGGAUAGGUUUACCUGGCUAAAUGAGACUAUAUAGCAAAGUCUUGAUGAACUGGGAACUGAGGAAAAUAGACUAAUUAAUUUAUUUUUCUUAGUUUCGUUUCAAACCAAUUGUUAAGAUCCUUUCAGGUUUAUUUUUGGGCAGUAGUCCAAUGUUUCUCAACUGGGGGCAAUUUUGCCACCCGGGAGACAUUUGACCUCUAUAGACAUUUUAAAUUGUUAUAACCAGGGGGUUAACAAUGGCAUUUAGUGGGUAGAGGCCAUGGAUACUACUGUACAUCCUCUGUGCACAGAAAAGCUCCCCUCACCCCAAGAACAAAGAAUUAUUAGGCCUAAAAUGUUAAUAGUGUCAAGGUUGAAAAAUUCUGAUGUAGGCAGUAGGCUCCAGGGAACAUAAUUCAAUAUUCUUUUACCAAGGAAUUUCUAUAGAAUCCCAUCAUUCUUUUUCUCAACAUGAAUUCUCAUCACCAAAGAUGGAGGUAGGGAGCAAGAACUUGCUGGAGUUGGUCUAAAUGUAAUGAGUCCCACAGGAUAUAGAGUCCAGUGUUUUUUUUGUUUUUUGUUUUUUUUUUCAUUUUCUUAAUAUUUAAGUUCAACUUGGGAGUUCCCGCCUUGGCUCAGUGGUUAACGAAUCUGACUAGGCAUCAUGAGGUUGCGGGUUUGAUCCCUGGCCUUGCUCAGUGGGUUAAGGAUCUGGUGUUGCUGUGAGCUGCAGUGUAGUUUGCAGACGAAGCUCGGAUCCUGAGUUGCUGUGGCUCAGGCAUAGGCUGGUGGCUACAGCUCCGAUUAGACCCCUAGCCUGGGAACCUCCAUAUGCCGCGAGAGUGGCCCAAGAAAUGGCAAAAAGACCAAAAAAAAAAAAAAAAAAAAAAAAAAAAUUAAGUUCAAGUUUAAAUUGCUAGAUUGCAAUUUAAAAAAAGAAAUUCUGGGGAGUUCUCAUUGUGGCUCAGCUCCAACGAACCCAGCUAGCAUCCAUGAGGGUGACCCUUCUCCAAAUUAGUAGACUUGCCUCAAUAUUCAUUUCCCUACUAAAUAUGUAAAUAUAUGUUUCUCAAAUGCCUACCAAACAAGCUUUACUAACCUGACAGUUUCCUCAUAGUUAGGUUAAAUAAAUAUUCGACGUGUUCAAUCUUUAUUUAUUUGGGGAGGAGGUUUUUAACUUUUGUUAAAUGUUUAAUGGAGUUCCCAUUGUGGUUCAGCACAAAUGAACCCAACUAUUAUCCAUGAGGAUGCGAGUUUGAUCUUUGGCCCUGCUCAGUGGGUUAAAGGAUCUGGUGUUGCCAUGAACUGUAGAGUAGGUUGCAGAUGUGGCUUAGAUCCUGUGCUGCUGUGGCUGUGGUAUAGGCCACCAACUGCAGCUCAGAUUCAACCCCUAACCUGAGAAACUGGGAGCUCCCAUAUACUGCACAUGUAGCCCUAAAUAGAGAGAAAAAAAUUCUGGCUAAUUCAUGUAACCAGUGAAAUGGAUUUUAGUUAUUUGGGGUAUUAUCAUCAUAGACCUCUUGAAAAUAUAUCUCAACAAAGAAUGGCCAAGCACUGAAAAUUGUGACUCUAAACUUUCAGUGUGGCCAUUCAGAACAAAUGUUGGAGAAAUUAUAUUUAAUAGAGGCAUAGGACUUCAGUAGGACCUCAGGUACAAAGAUCACACUGCCUAAUACCGUUUUUACUUAGCCUAACACCAAGCCUGAGACUAAUGGAUUGACUUGAAAAUGCAAUAAGCACCAUCUACAUACCAGUAUUCAACUAUGCACAAAUGAAUAGCCUUAACCUCCUUAGACUGGUGUUCAGGAUUCUGUACCACCUGAUCUUUGCUUACUUAUUACUAAUUCUCCUACUUGAUUCCUUUGCUCUAGUCAGUUUUUUGUAGUCAAUGUUUUAUAAAGGCAACUCGCAUAUCUGUACAUGGUCAGAUAUCCAUACUCUUGCUUAUACCAAUUCCUUUUCAAAAUGGCCAUACAUAUUUCGCUAUCCUUCAAAAGUGAGAUAAAAUUCUAUCUCUUUUGUGAAACAGCCAUCUAGAAAUUCUAUUCCCUCCUUCUUCCCACCCUCUUUUCCUUCCUUCCUAUGACAAAAUGAUACCAUUUAUUAGUUGUGGGUGGUUGGCAGAGUUUUUAUUUUUUGUUUGCUUUUUUUCUGCAUUUUAAUAAAAAUUGUGUACAAUGAAUCAGGGACCCCAAGUUCCAAACUGACACUAACAAAACUUGUCAUCUAACCCAGAAUAAGUCACUUAACCUCUCUGUCCCUUAUUUAAAAAAUAUAAAAAUAGGCAGAAUUAUAUUUAUUCUAUUUCUCUUGCAAGGUAGAUUUGGAUCAAAUGAGAUAAUGAACACAAAAAGCCCUUUGAAAAAUAUUAAGAACUACAUAAAGGUAAAGCAUUAUUCUUGUCAUCAUUUUACAAAACCACAUUCAGUCUCACAAAGUACUAGCGGUGUAUAUAUUCUGCAAAGCACUUAGCUGUAGUCUGCACUUAAUAAAUGAAUUCACACAAGCAAAUUGUUUCCACAGUUAACACAGACUGGCAGGAAUGGCAGUUAGAGAUGGAGACUGGGUAAGAGGUUACUACCUGUAUUGAUAGAGAAGCUAUUAAAAGCAGAAUGUGAUUUUUAACAUCCCCAGGACUAUGAGAGAAAUGAAUAAAAUUUUGUGUGCUUUAUCAUUUGUGACCCAGAAAAGAGAACCCUAAAGGCAUGAAAAAUCUUAAAAUAGAUUAUUUGUGUGCAAAAGGAGACAACAUACUCCACUGAUUUGGCAAUUUCAGUUUCUCCAUUAAGGGUACAAAUAGGAGAUUGGGUCACUUAAGCAAAUUGCUCCCUGAUUUGUUAAAACCAUUCUUGACUACAAAUUAAUAAGCCCAAAUACAUAUUUGUGGCUCAUAACUGGAUCAAUGUCUGAACUUUUCUUGAUUAAUGGGAGGAGGGUAGAAUUUGACUGUGUGGGUCUGGGGGUAUGGUCUUGGGAGGGGGCAGAGCUGGCCUUCAGUUGCUCAGUAUGGAACCAAGAGAACAGUUUGAGCUGUGGAAGCUCCAGGGUGACAAGAACAAGGGACUGGAGUUGAGGAAACAGGAACAGAAUUAACUUUUGGUGGCUACUGAUUUGGUUGGUGUGAGUGAACUACCUAGAGGUCUGCCAAUACCUGACCUAUUGAUAUUUUCUGAGGCAAAGUAGGAGGGACUUUAAUAUAUUGCAUGUAUUUUUACCUUUCCUCAGUGGUUGGGAGGGAGCUCUUAAGGAUUUCUAGCUGUAACAACAUUAAUUGAAAAAUAGAUUGAUCUAUUACUUUAGAACUAAAUGUGGUUAUAUUUUUGCUGUGUAAAUGGCAAAAAGAUGGAAUAGUAGUUUAGAGGCUCUAAACUAUACUGUUUUGUCUAAUUCCUGUAUCUGCUAUGGGUUAACUAUUUGCUAUGACCUUGAGCAAAUUACUCAGCCUCUCUAGGCCUCAGCUUUAUCAUCUGUAAAAUAGGAAUAAUAGCCUGCACUUUACAGUGUAUUUGUAAAGAUUAAAUGAAAUAGUAAAUGCAUAGCACAUUGCACAAUGCCUGGCCGAAAUAAUCCUCAGGAAUCCUUAACCACUGUUACUGGAUUGUCAGAAAAUGGAAACAAGUAAAGACUCUUCUUGUUUCUCUCCCUCCCUUGCUUCCCCAUCUAUGUCUAGUUCUUUAAAGAAUUGAUUAGAACUAAAGCACUGUAAGAAAUUGUGUUCUAGCUUUACUGAGAUAUAAUUGAAACACAAUAUUGUCUAAGUUGAAGGUACAUAAUUUUAUCAUUUGAUACACAUAUAUAUUGUGAAAUAUACAUGAUAUAAAUAUUUAGCAAUAUGUAUAACCACAAUAAGGUUGGUUAACACAUCCUUUACCUCGUGUAAUUAUCAUUUUUGUUGUUUGUAUGGUGAGAAUAUUAAAGUUCUACUGUCACAGCAACUUUUAAAUAUACGAUGCAGCAUUAUUAACUAUAGCAAUUGUGCUCUAAGGGCCCAUGUAAUUCUCUUAAUGAUGUUAUGAAGUAGCUGCUCUCAUUCCCACUUUACAGAUGGUAAUAUGGGGUUCAGAAGAGUCAUGUGAUUUUCUCAGGGUCACAUUGCUAGUCAAUGUCAGAAGUGAGAUUCAAAGACAUCUGACAGCUAUCUAUUCCCUUGUCCCAGAUAAGAAGCAGGGGAGGAGUUCCCGUCAUGGCUCAGUGAUUAACAAACCCAACUAAUAUCCAUGAGGAUGUAGGUUUGAUCCCUGACCUCACUCAGUAGGUUAAGGAUCCAGCGUUGCUGUGAGCUGUGGUGUAGGUCACAGACACAGCUUGGAUCCUGUGUUGCUAUGGCUGUGAUGUAGUCAGCAGUUACAGCUCUGGUUCAAACCCUAGCCUGGGAACCUUCAUAUGCCAUGAGUGUGGCCCUAAAAAG
rnacentral:lncRNA from 1 species